ACGUAGGGGGCAAGCGUUGUCCGGAAUGAUUGGGCGUAAAGGGCGCGUAGGCGGCCUGGUAAGUCUGGAGUGAAAGUCCUGCUUUUAAGGUGGGAAUUGCUUUGGAUACUGUCGGGCUUGAGUGCAGGAGAGGUAAGUGGAAUUCCCGGUGUAGCGGUGAAACGCGGCGGGAACGGGCGGGGAGGCGGUGGGGUAGGCGAAGUACGGGGGAGUAGCUGCCGGGGAGGCGGCAGAGUGUCGAGAGCAUACAG
rnacentral:rRNA from 1 species